GUUGCCAAUUUUUAAACACUUUUUGAUGCGUUUCCUCUUCUUGAGGUCGCCACUGCUUUUAUGAAGAGGUUGCCAGGUUUUCACAACAAAACCCGCCCAAUCGUGUUUCGAGGGGGUCCCCUGU